rnacentral:rRNA from 1 species
CUACGGGUGGCAGCAGUGGGGAAUAUUGCACAAUGGAGGAAACUCUGAUGCAGCAACGCCGCGUGGAGGAUGACACUUUUCGGAGCGUAAACUCCUUUUAUAUAGGAAGAGGAUGACGGUACUAUAUGAAUAAGCGCCGGCUAACUCCGCGCCAGCAGCCGCGGUAAUACGGAGGGCGCAAGCGUUACUCGGAAUCACUGGGCGUAAAGAGCGUGUAGGCGGAUUAAAAAGUCAGAAGUGAAAUCCUAUAGCUUAACUAUAGAACUGCUUCUGAAACUCUUAAUCUAGAAUAUGGGAGAGGUAGAUGGAGUUUCUGGUGUAGGGGUAAAAUCCGUAGAGAUCAGAAGGAAUACCGAUUGCGAAGGCGAUCUACUAGAACAUUAUUGACGCUGAGACGCGAAAGCGUGGGGAGCAAACAGGAUUAGAUACCCUAGUAGUC